GAAAGAGAAAACAGAAGAAGAAGGGACCCCCUUUUUCCCUCUCUUUUUUUUUUCUUCUCUAUUUUUUUUUUCUUUCUCUUUUCUUUCUCUU
rnacentral:ribozyme from 13 species